AUUGAACGCUGGCGGCAUGCCUUACACAUGCAAGUCGAACGGUAACAGGUCUUCGGAUGCUGACGAGUGGCGAACGGGUGAGUAAUACAUCGGAACGUGCCUAGUAGUGGGGGAUAACUACUCGAAAGAGUGGCUAAUACCGCAUGAGAUCUACGGAUGAAAGCAGGGGAUCGCAAGACCUUGUGCUACUAGAGCGGCCGAUGGCAGAUUAGGUAGUUGGUGGGAUAAAAGCUUACCAAGCCGACGAUCUGUAGCUGGUCUGAGAGGACGAUCAGCCACACUGGGACUGAGAAACGGCCCAGACUCCUACGGGAGGAAGCAGUGGGGAAUUUUGGUCAAUGGGCGCAAGCCUGAUCCAGCAAUGCCGCGUGCAGGAUGAAGGCCUUCGGGUUGUAAACUGCUUUUGUACGGAACGAAAAGCCCCGGGUUAAUACCCUGGGGUCAUGACGGUACCGUAAGAAUAAGCACCGGCUAACUACGUGCCAGCCGCCGCGGUAA
rnacentral:rRNA from 1 species